rnacentral:misc_RNA from 1 species
UCCGGUUUGACACCGGCAGUCUCGCUAGAGUCCUCACCAUAACGUGUUAGUAACUAACGAUAGGGGUUGCGCUCGUUAAGGGACUUAACCCGACACUUCACAGCACGAGCUGACGACAGCCAUGCAGCACCUGUGCACGUUCCACCCGAAGGAGGGCCGGUGUUUCCACCGGCUUUCACGUGCAUGUCAAGUCCAGGUAAGGUUCUUCGCGUUGCUUCGAAUUAA